rnacentral:rRNA from 1 species
UCUGUGAUGCCCUUAGAUGUUCUGGGCCGCACGCGUGCUACACUGAUACAUACAGCGAGUACUUCCCAGCUCCGCGAGGCAGCUGGUAAUCAGCAAUAUGUAUCGUGAUGGGGAUAGAUCUUUGGAAUUAUAGAUCUUGAACGAGGAAUUCCUAGUAAGCGCAAGUCAUUACCUUGCGCUGAUUACGUCCCUGCCCUUUGUACACACCGC